rnacentral:rRNA from 1 species
AGCACUCCGUACGGGAGGCAGCGAGUGGGAAUAUUGCACAAUGGGCGCAAGCCUGAUGCAGCGACGCGCGUGGGGAUGACGGCCUUCGGGUUGUAAACCUCUUUCAGUACCGACGAAGCGCAAGUGACGGUAGGUACAGAAGAAGCACCGGCCAACUACGUGCCAGCAGCCGCGGUAAUACGUAGGGUGCGAGCGUUGUCCGGAAUUACUGGGCGUAAAGAGCUCGUAGGUGGUUUGUCGCGUUGUCCGUGAAAUCCCACGGCUUAACUGUGGGCGUGCGGGCGAUACGGGCAGACUGGAGUACUGCAGGGGAGACUGGAAUUCCUGGUGUAGCGGUGGAAUGCGCAGAUAUCAGGAGGAACACCGGUGGCGAAGGCGGUGCUCUGGGCAGUAACUGACGCUGAGGAGCGAAAGCGUGGGGAGCAAACAGGAUUAGAUACCCUGGUAG